rnacentral:antisense_RNA from 18 species
AGUGUUAUAGCUUUGAAGCGCUAUAAAAGCGUUAUUUGUAAGCGCGUUUAAUACCCUUUAGAAUCAUUUGACAAAGAUCAAAAGCCCACAAAAAACAAGAACUAAUGAGAAUUAGGAUUGGAGUAAUAAUGGUGGCCACGACUGGACUUGAACCAGCGACCACUACCA